rnacentral:rRNA from 1 species
CCUACGGGCGGCUGCAGUGGGGAAUCUUGCACAAUGGGGGAAACCCUGAUGCAGCGACGCCGCGUGAACGAUGAAGCCCUUCGGGGUGUAAAGUUCUUUCGACGGGGACGAUAAUGACGGUACCCGGAGAAGAAGCUGCGGCUAACUACGUGCCAGCGGCCGCGGUAAUACGUAGGCAGCAAGCGUUGUUCGGAAUUACUGGGCGUAAAGAGUGCGUAGGCGGUUGGCUAAGUUUGGUGUGAAAUCUCCCGGCUCAACUGGGAGGGUGCGCCGAAAACUGGCCGGCUAGAGUGUGGGAGAGGUAAGUGGAAUUCCUGGUGUAGCGGUGAAAUGCGUAGAUAUCAGGAGGAACACCUGCGGUGUAGACGGCUUACUGGACCAUGACUGACGCUGAGGCACGAAAGCGUGGGGAGCAAACAGGAUUAGAUACCCUAGUAGUC